CCAGUGUGGCAACAGUGAGCGGCAGAGGCGAGGACGGUUGUGAGUGGCGGCGGGUACAGGACACCUACCUUUUCCUGCCCCUCAUAAUCCCCACGGACACCCCACAUUGCCACCACACACACAGCACAUCGCCGCCAUGCCGGGCUAGCACUUGAACCCUUGCUCGGAGACGCGGCAGGCAUUAAAAGCGAGAAAAGAGGCUUGUUUACUGCCAUGGCGUCAAGGUGCAGUCCUUCCUGAGGCCGCUAGCGAGUGCUGCUUUAUUUAUUUACCUGUAGUGUGCGUGGGGGCGUGAGCGUGGCGGUGGUGGGCCCUGCCUCACCCCGGGAUUAUGGUAAGAUGGAGGUGGAUGUCAGCGAGGUGUUGGCGGCUAUCGGGACGCUCUACGAUGCUCAGGUCCAAGACAGACAGAAGCAUGACCAGGCGUCUCGUUGGCUUGGACAGCUGCAGCGAUCGGUACAAGCUUGGAAAGUGGCUGACCAGCUCCUUCACCUCAAGCACGAUGGCAACUCCUGUUUCUUUGCGGCGCAGACUCUCCGCACCAAGAUACAGCUAUACUUCGGGGAGCUCCCAGUGGAGGCGCAUGCGUCCCUGCGCGCCUCCAUGCUGGAACACAUGAGUCACAUCACAGAGCACACCUACCAGGGCAUCGCCACGCAGCUAUGUGUGGCACUGGCCGACCUGGCACUCCACAUGGCCUCCUGGAGUGACCCAAUAGGUGACCUCAUUACUCAGUUUGGGCCGGAAUCCUCCAAGCCCAACUUGGUCCCCUUACUGGAAGUACUCAUCGCCCUGCCGGAGGAGCUGCACUCACGUCAGCUCCGCCUCGGACUCAACCGACGCAAGCAGCUGGAUGAAUACUUCCACUCCCAAGUUCCUAACAUCACUAAGAUCCUGCAUCUGGUGGUUGUAAGUGAAGGCGCCACCAAGGAGAGCACCCACCUGAAGGCUCUCCGCUGCCUUGCCUCUUGGUUCAACAUCCACUCGCAGAACUGGGUGCUACUCCUCAACACCUGCCUCGUGGAUGACAUCCUUACCGUUGUUGGCAAUCCGCAGGUGGCCCCCAGGUUACAUGAGAUUGCAACAGACUGUGUGUGUUCAGCAAUGAUCAUGCUAGAAGCAGAGAGGAUCCAGCCCUUAGCAGAGACCCUGUUUGCUGGAGUGCUGCAGAUGGGCAACGCUUACCACCUGGCUGUGGCUCUGGAGGACAUCAAUGCCAUCACCAAUUAUGCCAGGAUCUUCUCUGAACUGGGGGAGACACUGGUGGAGGUGAUGGUGGAGCAGCCAGGGCAAGGUCUAGGCUCCCUGCAGGUCCUUCAUCUCCUCCUCACCUGCAUUGGCCAUCAUGACUGGGAGGUGGCAGAAAUCACCUUUAAUUUCUGGUACAAGCUAUCUGAGGUGCUCUACAAGAAGAACUGUGAUAAUGUCAAUGAGCAGUUUAAGCCUUACGUGGAGAGACUCAUAGAGGCGCUCUACCGACACUGCCAGAUGGAGCCAGAUCAUGACACCAUCUUGGCGCAGCAGGACGACUUCUAUGAGUUCCGGGAGCGUGUGCAGGAGCUGAUCAAGGAUGUUGUGUUCAUCUGUGGCUCCAAGCUAUGUUUCCAGCAGAUGGCACAUGUUCUCCAGGCGCCAGAUGUGGCAAAGAACUGGAACCUUAUGGAGGCAGCUCUCUUCAUCAUGCAGAGUGUGGCCAAGAACCUCAUACCGGAGGAGAAUGAGGUGGUGCCGCCCAUCCUGGAGGGAGUGCUGAACCAGCCAGAGGAUGUGCACCUACAAGUGGCCUUCACCUCUGUUCAGCUGAUGGCAGAGCUCAAUGAGUGGAUCGCCUGCCACCCGAACUUCCUGCCCCACGUGCUGCAGUUCCUCACGCAGCGGCUCCACAACAAGCAUCUGGCCACCGUCUCAGCUAAGGCCCUGGACGCCAUCUGCCAGAGUUGUCGGGACCACAUUGAGCAGCACUUUGAUGGCCUCAUGCAGAUCAUUGCCUCCCUGGAUUCCUUCAGCAUCAGCAAUGAGGCCGUGGUGGGGCUCCUCAAGGGGGUCGCCUCUAUCCUGGGGCGCCUUCCUCGCUCCCGCAUCAAGGACGACAUGCGGCAACUCUGCCAUCUUCAGAUCACCAGCCUUGGGAAGCUGAUCGAGGAGAAUGUUCCACCAGAAAAGAACACCAAGAAUGAUCCAGUGGUGUGGCUGGACCGCCUUGCCGCCAUCUUCCGCAACGUGAACCCCACUGUGCAGAAUGGGGAGCAGCACCCCUGCCAGGAGGUGGUGAUGGAGGUGUGGCCCACUCUGUCGCUGACCUUCCAGAAGUACAGCAGUGACCUACGGGUAAUGGAGCACUGCUGUCGCUGCUUGCGCUUUGCUGUUCGCUGUGUUCACCAGCAGUCUGCGCCCCUCCUCUCCCCUCUCGUCGAACAGAUUGUGGGGCUGUACGUCUCCCAUGGACACAGCUGCUUCUUGUACCUGGGUAGCAUUUUGGUGGAUGAGUAUGCCAGCGAGGCAGGCUGUGUCGGAGGCCUGCUAGCUAUGUUGGAGGCCUUCACACAGCCCACCUUCAACCUGCUCACACAGCCCAAUGGCUUCCGCGACCACCCUGACACUGUGGAUGACUGGUUUAGGCUGUGUGCCAGGUUCCUGCAGAGAGCACCGGUGCCCUUCCUGCAGUGCUCAGCUGUCAACACCAUCCUGGAAUGUGGUAUUCAAGCCUGCAUGCUGGAUCAUAAGCUGCCGGCUCCACCAACUCGUCACCCCUGGACCCCACUCACCACCACCACCUCCACCACCACCACCACCACCACCACCACCUCCUCCUCCUCCACCACCACCACUCCCCUCGCUUCAUCAUCACCUCUCCUCCCCACCCCGCACACAGGAGGCCAACUCGGCGGUGCUCAAGUUCUUCCAAGAUCUCAUCGAAGCCGGGAGGAAACGCGAGGACCGUCCUGACUUCGAAACCCGGAGGACUCUGGUGACGGAGAUCUUCAAAACUCACGGAGAGAACCUGGUAGGGAACCUUGUGACGGCUGCCGUGUUCAUCCUCCCUCAGUACAUGCACCAUGAUGUUGCCGAAACUUUCUUCCAGAUUAUGCAAUACGACCGUCCAAAGUUCUGUGUGUGGCUGGAGGCAAAGCUGAAGGUGCUUCCAACCAAGAAUGCCGGCGGGGUGGAGGCUGUUAGUGCUACUGAGCUGGCUGAAUUCCACAAAGCUGUGACGCAGGCCGAACGCACUAAAGAAAUCACCCGCGCCCUUGUUGAUUUCUCUAGGUUUUUCAGCUGACACGACAGGCCAGCUAGGUGAGGCCGCCGCCCCGGGAGCUGACCACUUGCAGCAAGGACAACAGAGGUGUGGCGUGAUGUGAGUGCAUCAUGCCAUGCCCCUGGGCAGCCCGUGACCUGCCUGUCCUGCUGGCCUGGGGUGGUGCGCCAUGGGCCGUCUCAUUGUCUGUGAUUCUCCCAUUAGAGAAUCUUGAAGUGACAGCUAUUAAAAUCUGCUCUAUUUUUAACUUCUGGGAAUUUCCAAGCUCCUGGGAUAGUUGUCAAUCAAAUUUUCCGUCUUUUCUCCCCUGGUGGGAUGAUUGCAAUGCCUGCCUCAGUCGCUCACCACGUCUCCACACCUUCACGUCGUAGAAAUCAAAUUUUUACCUUGAUAUGUGAUUGGUAUUCAUUUUGCCUUUUUUUUUUUUUUUUUUUUCCGUUGAAUUUAUUGCUUUUUAUUAACUGUGAACUAAGUUUUCUUAGUUAUGUUUCUUUGUGAAGCUCUACAAUAAUCACUCAAAAUUUUACAAUUUUGUUAGGCUGUGAGUGUGGGAGGCUUGAGGUCUGUGAGUCCCUGCGGAAGUAAACACCUCAUCUUGCUAGACUUUCUGGGGCACUGGUCAGGGUGCAGAGUAAUUUUGAGAGUAAACGUUUUAGCUACUCAACUUGCAAGUAUAAAUGUUGCACUGGACAGACUUGUAUAAAUUGUAGAUUGUGUUUUAUAUUUUUAUUCUGCAUGUGGCCAGGAGUCAUGACCCACGUAGAGGUUCCUGCUGAGUCCCUCUGCUGGUCCCUGCUUCCCUCUUGUGAUAGUGAGGUUGCUGCUGCCACGGCUCUCCCAGUUGUCAACACUGGAGAUAACUUCUAUCAUAAGAAAUCCCCUUGGCCCUUGGUUAACAUUUUUGCCAUCACAGUGGAGCAAACAUUUGUCUGAAGAUGUGUUGAUAUUACAGUGCGGGUUAUUUUCUCCUUGUUAAGAACACUAAGCUGUUUAUCUGAUAUUUUAGUGCUGCAGUCUGCACCACUACCACUUGCCAACAGAAUCAGUGAAGUAUAUUUUAGAUUUUUUAUUUUGCUUAUAAUGGACAUUUGAUGAGUAAUUAUUGUUUCCUAUAACUAUCUCCUUUCUUUAGAGUCAUAGCAUGGACAAUAACUGACAUUUAUUGAUUGAUUGAUGCCAAAUAUAAUGGCAUGUUUUUGAUGGAUAAAGUAAAAGUCAUUAAAAUUUUGUCAUACGAUGUUGCUAUGUAUUAAAUAAUUGCUGUUCAGUAUUUUUCGUCCUCGUCAGUUAUUCUGAAAAUAAGACUAUAAAUAAUAAUUUUGUGUUUGUAUCAAACUUGGAUGUAAUCACAUCUUAUAUAUUAACAAAUGGAAUUCCUCAGGCAAAGUGUUGAAAACAUCGGAUCAUCCCUUGACCUCUGUGGGUUACAUGUUACACAGUAUCCAUUUUCCCAUAAAUUACUGGAUGAUGCUUCUAGUCCAAGCUUACUCUUCUCCCCUCCAGUCACUCCUCACCAGCCAGCUGUUGUGUGGCCAGCAGUCAGGAUGCUGUACUGUGUUCUGUUGUCUUGAGGCACCAUUUCACAGGUGAAUCUCAGACAUGACACCUUUCACACACUCAAGAAGUUGCAUUUAGACUUUUUUAUUAUUAUUAUUAUUAUGAUGAUGAUGAUGAUGAUGAUGAUGAUGAUGAUGGUUUUCCAAAUUAUAUGUCUCCUGAAUGUGUGAAACUUGCCAUGUCAAGGGGAAAGUACUUUUUGACUGGGCCUUUUACCCUGUUAAGUUAACACCAUGCCCUAACCAGUGGAGAAAACUAAUCUGUAAAGAAGUGCACAUGUAAGUAGGUCAGUGUGGUGAGGUCAAGGCCUCAGCUUGCAAGGCAGUCCCCUGCUCAAGAUGGAAGUGGUUGGCACAGCAGUGAGAUGUGAGGGAGAGGACCUGGACAGAGGAGAUUUUUUUAUUUCCACUCCUCCAUCUCUCCACCCCAACUCCAUACCGCCAAGGUCAUUCCCCACCCGUAUGUGGCUGGCAUAUUUGUUUUGUUAAGAUAAAUACAGUCAUAAUUACUUUGUAUUA